rnacentral:rRNA from 1 species
GACGAACGCUGGCGGCGUGCUUAACACAUGCAAGUCGAACGGAAAGGCCCUGCUUUUGUGGGGUGCUCGAGUGGCGAACGGGUGAGUAACACGUGAGUAACCUGCCCUUGACUUUGGGAUAACUUCAGGAAACUGGGGCUAAUACCGGAUAGGAGCUCCUGCUGCAUGGUGGGGGUUGGAAAGUUUCGGCGGUUGGGGAUGGACUCGCGGCUUAUCAGCUUGUUGGUGGGGUAGUGGCUUACCAAGGCUUUGACGGGUAGCCGGCCUGAGCGGGUGACCGGCCACAUUGGGACUGAGAGACGGCCCAGACUCCUACGGGAGGCAGCAGUGGGGAAUAUUGCACAAUGGGCGGAAGCCUGAUGCAGCAACGCCGCGUGCGGGAUGACGGCCUUCGGGUUGUAAACCGCUUUCGCCUGUGACGAAGCGUGAGUGACGGUAAUGGGUAAAGAAGCACCGGCUAACUACGUG